CACGGGGAGGUAGUGACGAAAAAUAACGAUACGGGACUCAUCCGAGGCCCCGUAAUCGGAAUGAGAACACUCUAAAACCUUUAACAAAAAUCAAUUAGAGGGCCAGUCUGGUGCCAGCAGCCGCGGUAAUUCCAGCUCUAAUAGCGUAUAUUAAAGUUGUUGCGGUUAAAAAGCUCGUAGUCGAAUUUGUGUCUCGCGCCGCUGGUUCAUCGCUCGCGGUGUCAACUGGCGUGUGGCGGGACGUCCUGUCGGUGGGCUCUGCGGAUUGUCUGCUUUGCAGUCGUUCGUAGCCCUGUGCGUGUCCGUCUUGUGCGGGUGCGUUCCCCAUCGCGGUGCUCUUUAUUGAGUGUCGAGGUGGGCCGGCACGUUUACUUUGAACAAAUUAGAGUGCUUAAAGCAGGCCAAUUUUGCCUGAAUACUGUGUGCAUGGAAUAAUGGAAUAGGACCUCGGUUCUAUUUUGUUGGUUUUAGGAAUGCCGAGGUAAUGAUUAAUAGGAACGGAUGGGGGCAUUCGUAUUGCGACGUUAGAGGUGAAAUUCUUGGAUCGUCGCAAGACGGACAGAAGCGAAAGCAUUUGCCAAAAACGUUUUCAUUGAUCAAGAACGAAAGUUAGAGGUUCGAAGGCGAUCAGAUACCGCCCUAGUUCUAACCAUAAACGAUGCCAGCUAGCGAUCCGCCGACGUUCCUCCGAUGACUCGGCGGGCAGCUUCCGGGAAACCAAAGCUUUUGGGUUCCGGGGGAAGUAUGGUUGCAAAGCUGAAACUUAAAGGAAUUGACGGAAGGGCACCACCAGGAGUGGAGCCUGCGGCUUAAUUUGACUCAACACGGGGAAUCUCAC
rnacentral:rRNA from 1 species